rnacentral:rRNA from 1 species
UACGUAGGGGGCAAGCGUUGUCCGGAUUUAUUGGGCGUAAAGAGCGUGUAGGCGGCCAGGUAGGUCCGUUGUGAAAGCUCGAGGCUCAACCUCGAGACGUCGGCGGAAACCCUCUGGCUAGAGUCCGGAAGAGGAGAGUGGAAUUCCUGGUGUAGCGGUGAAAUGCGCAGAUAUCAGGAAGAACACCCGUGGCGAAGGCGGCUCUCUGGGACGGUACUGACGCUGAGGCGCGACAGCGUGGGGAGCAAACAGG